UGGGGAAUAUUGCACAAUGGGCGGAAGCCUGAUGCAGCGACGCCGCGUGGGGGAUGAAGGCCUUCGGGUUGUAAACUCCUUUCGACAGGGACGAAGCUUUUGUGACGGUACCUGUAUAAGAAGCACCGGCUAACUACGUGCCAGCAGCCGCGGUAAUACGUAGGGUGCGAGCGUUGUCCGGAAUUACUGGGCGUAAAGAGCUCGUAGGUGGUUUGUCGCAUCGUCUGUUGAAUUCCGGGGCUUAACUCCGGGCGUGCAGGCGAUACGGGCUGAAUUGAGUGCUGUAGGGGAGACUGGAAUUCCUGGUGUAGCGGUGAAAUGCGCAGAUAUAAGGAGGAACACCGAUGGCGAAGGCAGGUCUCUGGGCAGUAACUGACGCUGAGGAGCGAAAGCAUGGGUAGCGAACAGG
rnacentral:rRNA from 1 species